rnacentral:sRNA from 1 species
AGAAGAAUUUAAGGUCGCAUGAACA